CAGAAAAGAGCUUCCCCUUCUCUAUGAAUAUCUCCAAGAAGCUCCGACUAACAAGGUUUGCUGGAAAGAUGUGAUUCACUGGAUGUGGCCACUUUUUACUGAAAAUUGGGGAUCAUGGAGAAGUGAUGAUUUGAACCUGAGUCCUAUUCCUUUUACAGAUCCUGUAACGGGCCUUCCCACUUGGCAUGAUUGGCCACCAUCUCCCCUCCUCUUGUAUGGGUUUAGCAAAGAAAUUGUUGAAUGCCCAGAUUAUUGGCCAUCACAAGUUCGUGUUUGUGGGUUUUGGUUCCUCCCUAUUGAAUGGCAGUUUGCAUGUAAGAAAUGUGGACAAAUUUCAGCAAUUUUUUCUCCUGGGACUAGAACAAAGGACGAAAUGUGUGCAGC
rnacentral:misc_RNA from 1 species